CGCCAAUCUACUACUCCUCCUUUGCCACUAUGACCACGCCACUGUGCUCCUUGAGACAACUUACCGCCACCCACUCUUGGCUCCGUAGACUCCAUAAGCUUCAAAAGCUCCACUCGCUAGCAUCUCUCAAUCCUUCUUCCAUCUCUCAAUACCCGCAAGGACAGGAGCAGCGGCAACAAGAAAGAGCACAGAAAACCCAACAAAACCUACUUAUUAACAACAAGAAGAAGGAUAGUAUUGUAUCAGAUGUGGAUAACAAUAGUUCUAGCUCAUUUUUUCCUAAGAGAGGCCAGACUUUGGAGUUGGUUUGCGAGUCUUUGGCUUUCAAGGGGAAGGGUGUGUGCAAAGUGGCAGAUACUGGAUUUGUUGUAAUGUGUGACCGGGCACUCCCUGGUGAAAGGUUCAUUGGGCGGGUUACUCGCAGAAAGGGAAGUUAUGCAGAGGUAACCAAGGUGAAGACAAUAUCUCCUCAUUUGGAUAUUAUAGAUGCCCCUUGUGAGUACGCAUCAUAUUGUGGGGGUUGUAAGACACAAAAUCUGUCAUAUGAGGCUCAGCUUAGAGCUAAGGAGCAGCAAGUUCUUGAGUUGAUGACACAUGUUGGAAAGUUUUCAGAUAAAGAUCUGGAUAUGAAGUCUAUUGUUCCCUGUGAUAUUCAAUUUCAUUAUAGAAAUAAGAUGGAGUUCUCAUUUGGUUCUCAAAAAUGGUUACCUAGAGAUUUGCUAGGAGAGAAACAAGAUGGCGUUGAGAACUUUGCAUUAGGACUGCAUGCUCCAGGCUUUUUUGAUAAGGUUCUAAACGUUGAUAAGUGCUUGUUACAAAGUGAGCCUGCUAACAAGGUAAACAGGAAUUCAAUAUUUGAUGGAAGGUUUUAGAGACUAGCUUAAUUUGAAGACAGUUUUGACAAGUAUAUUCUCCAUGACAUCAACUUCGAAGGCAGUAAUGUUGACACCAAAGUGUUGCACUAAUUUCUUUUAAUGUUAUAGUGUUCACAUUUAUUUACUUCUAUUGCCGAUUUUCGUCCUUAUUGUGAUAUUAUGUAAGCUGGCAUAAAAUGCAAUCAAUCAAGGUACAAUUGUUGCCUGUUUUACUGUUAUUACACAUCUAAAACUCAGUAUCUAUGUGCUAUGUUCAUAAGGAUAAAGGAAAUGGGAAAAAAGCAAAGCAGAGAAAAAAAUCACUUGAAUAUCUGAAGCAUUUUUGGAUUUUCUUCCUAAUUUACACCAUUUUGGCAACUUUUCCUUGUAGUUGAAUAGUUUCUAAGUUAACUCAUCACUUUUGAAUAUCUUGUUAGCAGUACGUGCUACAGGAUUUAUGUAAUACGAAUUGUAUUUUUCCUGUCAUCUUUGACUUGCAUUUCUGGUAAAUAGGUUCUGGCAACCAUCCAGGAUUUUUGGAGAGAUCCACAAUUAGGCCUUACUCCUUAUGAUAUUAAAUCUCAUGUUGGGUUUCUCAAGCAUCUAAUGCUAAGAACUGGAAGGAAUUCUAAGACUGGCUUGCUUGAGCUCAUGGUUAACUUUGUCACCUCAUCUUACAAUCCACAGCUGCUGAAGCCUCUAGUUGAAAAGAUUUCAGCUAUUCCAGAAGUGGUAAGCAUCAUGAAUAAUGUAAAUUCUUCUGUUGGCAACACGUCUGUUGGGGAGGAGGAAUACACUUUGUAUGGAAAAUCCACUAUCACUGAAAUCUUAAGAGGACUUACGUUCCAAAUUUCAGCCAACUCUUUUUUUCAAACAAAUACACGUCAGGUACAUUGAAUGGCAUAAAUUGAAUGUUAUUUCAUGGUUGCUUUCAUGCUUUUACACAAAACUCCCCCUCCAUAAUCUUUUUGUUUCCUUUAUUUUCUUGAUAUAUAAUGUCUAUAAUCUGUAAAUGGAAAGAUUUUAUUAUACUGUAUAGGCAGAGGUUCUGUAUAAACUUAUUGAAGAUUGUGCUGGUCUCAGAGGAGAUAGCUCUGAAAUUGUUCUUGACCUAUUUUGUGGUACUGGAACCAUUGGACUGACACUUGCCAGAAGGGCUAAAAAUGUUUAUGGCUAUGAAGUUGUUCCUCAAGCGAUCUCUGACGCUCGUAAAAAUGCUGAGCUGAAUGGUAUCACUAAUGCUACAUUUGUGCAAGGGGAUCUUAACAAAAUUGGUGAAAAUUUUGGCAACAAUUUUCCAAAGCCUGACAUUGUCAUUUCAGAUCCAAAUCGUCCUGGUAUGCACAUGAAGUUGAUUAAAUUUCUGUUAAAGCUUAAAGCUCCAUGCAUUGUUUAUGUAUCAUGUAAUCCAGCCACAUGUGCACGAGACCUUGAUUACCUUUGCCAUGGUUUGAAAGAGCAAAAUAUAGAAGGAUGUUACAAACUUAAAAGCCUGCAGCCAGUAGACAUGUUUCCUCACACCCCUCACAUCGAGUGUGUUUGCCUAUUAGAACUUUGCUGACCGCUGCUUGUAAUCAAGCACCUGACAUGCAGAGGAUGAUAGCAAAAGUAGGUCUCAACAGAAUGAAUCUUAGUUUUACCUUCAUUAUUGGAGCUUAAAGAGAAACUUUUAUAGGUGAAGCAAGCAGCAGAUUCUUGCCCAUUUUUCUGUAUAGAGGUUUCAUUUUUCUCAUGCAAUGAAUCCAUUGUGAUUUUGUAUUGUUGUCUGAGCUACACACGACUGACUCUUCCCUUGGUUUUGUUUUCUGAGGGUAGGCUUUGGCAUGAUAUUAUUCAAAUGCUUCAGUUUCUCACCUGGAGACUUAUUAUUUCAGAAAAUUAACGUUUGAAAAAGUAACCUGAGUAUCUUUUGUACGGACGAAAUAUUCAUAAAUUUAAC
rnacentral:misc_RNA from 1 species